GGAGGAGGCUAGCGUUGUUCGGAAUUACUGGGCGUAAAGCGCACGCAGGUGGCUUGGGAAGUUGGAUGUGAAAGCCCGGGGCUUAACCCCGGAAUAGCAUCCAAAACUUCCAAGCUCGAGUCCGGAAGAGGAGAGUGGAAUUCCCAGUGUAGAGGUGAAAUUCGUAGAUAUUGGGAAGAACACCGGUGGCGAAGGCGGCUCUCUGGUCCGGUUCUGACACUCAAGUGCGACAGCGUGGGGAGCAAACAGGAUUAGAUACCCUGGUAGUCCACGCCGUAAACGAUGCGCGCUAGAUGUCGGGAGGCUUGCCUCUCGGUGUCGUAGCUAACGCGUUAAGCGCGCCGCCUGGGGAGUACGGCCGCAAGGUUA
rnacentral:rRNA from 1 species